rnacentral:rRNA from 1 species
GCAGUGGGGGGUGCUAUACUGCAGUCGAGCGGACAGAUGGGAGCUUGCUCCCUGAUGUUAGCGGCGGACGGGUGAGUAACACGUGGGUAACCUGCCUGUAAGACUGGGAUAACUCCGGGAAACCGGGGCUAAUACCGGAUGGUUGUUUGAACCGCAUGGUUCAAACAUAAAAGGUGGCUUCGGCUACCACUUACAGAUGGACCCGCGGCGCAUUAGCUAGUUGGUGAGGUAACGGCUCACCAAGGCAACGAUGCGUAGCCGACCUGAGAGGGUGAUCGGCCACACUGGGACUGAGACACGGCCCAGACUACUACGGGAGGCAGCAGUAGGGAAUCUUCCGCAAUGGACGAAAGUCUGACGGAGCAACGCCGCGUGAGUGAUGAAGGUUUUCGGAUCGUAAAGCUCUGUUGUUAGGGAAGAACAAGUACCGUUCGAAUAGGGCGGUACCUUGACGGUACCUAACCAGAAAGCCACGGCUAACUACGUGCCAGCAGCCGCGGUAAUACGUAGGUGGCAAGCGUUGUCCGGAAUUAUUGGGCGUAAAGGGCUCGCAGGCGGUUUCUUAAGUCUGAUGUGAAAGCCCCCGGCUCAACCGGGGAGGGUCAUUGGAAACUGGGGAACUUGAGUGCAGAAGAGGAGAGUGGAAUUCCACGUGUAGCGGUGAAAUGCGUAGAGAUGUGGAGGAACACCAGUGGCGAAGGCGACUCUCUGGUCUGUAACUGACGCUGAGGAGCGAAAGCGUGGGGAGCGAACAGGAUUAGAUACCCUGGUAGUCCACGCCGUAAACGAUGAGUGCUAAGUGUUAGGGGGUUUCCGCCCCUUAGUGCUGCAGCUAACGCAUUAAGCACUCCGCCUGGGGAGUACGGUCGCAAGACUGAAACUCAAAGGAAUUGACGGGGGCCCGCACAAGCGGUGGAGCAUGUGGUUUAAUUCGAAGCAACGCGAAGAACCUUACCAGGUCUUGACAUCCUCUGACAAUCCUAGAGAUAGGACGUCCCCUUCGGGGGCAGAGUGACAGGUGGUGCAUGGUUGUCGUCAGCUCGUGUCGUGAGAUGUUGGGUUAAGUCCCGCAACGAGCGCAACCCUUGAUCUUAGUUGCCAGCAUUCAGUUGGGCACUCUAAGGUGACUGCCGGUGACAAACCGGAGGAAGGUGGGGAUGACGUCAAAUCAUCAUGCCCCUUAUGACCUGGGCUACACACGUGCUACAAUGGACAGAACAAAGGGCAGCGAAACCGCGAGGUUAAGCCAAUCCCACAAAUCUGUUCUCAGUUCGGAUCGCAGUCUGCAACUCGACUGCGUGAAGCUGGAAUCGCUAGUAAUCGCGGAUCAGCAUGCCGCGGUGAAUACGUUCCCGGGCCUUGUACACACCGCCCGUCACACCACGAGAGUUUGUAACACCCGAAGUCGGUGAGGUAACCUUUUAGGAGCCAGCCGCCGAAGGUGACAGGGGGG